UACGUAGGGGGCGAGCGUUAUCCGGAUUCACUGGGUGUAAAGGGAGCGUAGACGGCCAAGCAAGCCAGGGGUGAAAGCCCGGGGCCCAACCCCGGGACUGCCCUUGGAACUGCAUGGCUGGAGUGCGGGAGGGGCAGGCGGAAUUCCUGGUGUAGCGGCGAAAUGCGUAGAUAUCAGGAGGAACACCGGCGGCGAAGGCGGCCUGCUGGACCGCGACUGACGUUGAGGCUCGAAAGCGUGGGGAGCGAACAGG
rnacentral:rRNA from 1 species